UACCUGCAGCUCGAGUGGUAACCGCUAUUAUUGGGCCUAAAGCGUCCGUAGCCGGUUUGGUAAAUAUCUGGGUGAAUCGUGAGGCUUAACUUCACGAAUUUCGGAUAGACUGCCAGACUUGGGAUCGGGGGAGGUCAGAGGUACUCCAGGGGUAGCGGUGAAAUGUUGUAAUCCUUGGAGGACCACCGGUAGCGAAGGCGUCUGACUAGAACGAGUCCGACGGUGAGGGACGAAGCCCUGGGGCGCAAAACCGGAUUGGAUACCCGGGUAGUCCAGGGUGUAAACGAUGUGGGCUUUGUAUUGGAGGUCCCACGUGGGCGUCCAGUGCAGAAGAGAAGUUGUUAAGCCCACCGCCUGGGAAGUACGGUCGCAAGGCUGAAACUUAAAGGAAUUGGCGGGGGAGCACAGCAACGGGAGGAGCGUGCGGUUUA
rnacentral:rRNA from 1 species